GGAGAAAACUCUGGAGAAUCUCUUAAAUGGGUGCCGAAGGUGCAAGGCAGGUUUUCGACCGGCCGAAUCUCUCAGGCAAACGGACAGAGACGCCGCG
rfam:Slackia sp. CM382 contig00004, whole genome shotgun sequence.